rnacentral:rRNA from 1 species
CCUACGGGAGGCAGCAGUGGGGAAUAUUGCACAAUGGGGGCAACCCUGAUGCAGCGACGCCGCGUGAGCGAUGAAGUAUUUCGGUAUGUAAAGCUCUAUCAGCAGGGAAGAAAAUGACGGUACCUGUCUAAGAAGCCCCGGCUAACUACGUGCCAGCAGCCGCGGUAAUACGUCGUGGGCAAGCGUUAUCCGGAUUUACGGGGUGUAACGGGAACGGAGACGGCGAUGCAAGCCAGAUGUGAAAGCCCGGGGCUCAACCCCGGGACUGCAUUUGGAACUGGAUAGCUGGAGUGUCGGAGAGGCAGGCGGAAUUCCUAGUGUAGCGGUGAAAUGCGUAGAGAUUAGGAGGAAUACCAGUGGCGAAGGCGGCCUGCUGGACGAUGACUGACGUUGAGGCUCGAAAGCGUGGGGAGCAAACAGGAUUAGAUACCCCAGUAGUC